GGGCUCGAGACGAAGUAUCCAAAGAAUAACUCCACACCUGAAAGGGAAUAUCUGCAGAAACCGAAUCAAUUCUGGAACAAAAGAGGACCUUCAGAACAGCUGCCGGCCUGCCUGUCGUUCUCUUGCUGGAAGCCUGAAACCAGAGCUAGGGGUGAAUGCCAAACUUUUCAGGAAAAGACCUCCACAUUCUGGCCCCCCGUGAGCUGACAGCUCUUUGCCAUCAAAGUCAACAAUACUGCUUUGCUGCAAGGAGAUGAAGAUCGGCUGUUGACUGCGGACAGCUGGGUUUCACACAAUGGCAUAAAGAUGCGGAAAAGGGUAAGGAAUGCUGUGGUAUUUGGAGUCGGACAGAAACCGGUAUAUAGGCAGCAUAUUUGUAUAUGUAUUAUAAACUUCAGCUUAUACUGGCGUUUUUGCAUUAUUUGUAAUUGUUUAUUAGUAAUUUUAGCCCAUAAUAACCUAUUUCUCCUUAUUGGAAAGUUAUGAGGCAUAUAAUACAGACCGAAUGGACCACAUAUAACACGUUUCGGCAGUUGUUUUUGAAAUGCAGCCCCUCUUUGUGAAAGAUCUGUAAUGUUAUUAGGGAUGUAACAAUUCAACUGACUUUCGAUUCGAUAGGAUUCACGAUACUAAUCUCACGAUUUAUUCACAAUCAUUUUUAACACAAUUAUUUUUAAAUAAAAUGUUUUAAAACUCAUUUAAGAUGAAAAGCCCUCGAUUUUUUUUCUUAACUGCUGCACAUUUUUUGUUAAAUAAUAUUUUCUGCCACAACCAAAUUGC
rnacentral:lncRNA from 1 species